UAUGUGUCAACUUGAGCAGGUUAAGGGAUGGCAGGUAGCUGGUAAAACAUUAUUUCUAGGUGAAGGAUGUUGCAGUGUACCUACAUUGGGUGAACAUGGAUUUGGUAAACAAGUAUCAGCAGGCAGGACAAUAUAGCGCCACUGAAAGGAAGGUCGAGCUGCUGAACCUCCACAGUA